rnacentral:piRNA from 1 species
UAGGUCCGGACUCAGCCAGUUGCU